GUGCAGCAGUCGCGAAAACUUCACACUGUGCGAAAGCACGAUGAGGGAAUCCCAAGUGCUUGCACGUAAGUGUAAGCUGUUUCUCUGUCUAAAACGCAGAGAGAGUAAGGGCUGGGUAAGACGGGUGCCAGCCGCCGCGGUAAUACCUGCAGCUCAAGUGGUGACCGUUAUUAUUGGGCCUAAAACGUCCGUAGCCGGUUUAAUAAAUGCCUGGGUAAAUUGUGUAGCUUAACUAUACGAAUUCCGGGUAGACUGUUAAACUUGAGACCGGGAGAAGUUAGAGGUACUCCUGGGGUAGAGGUGAAAUUCUGUAAUCCUAGGGGGACCACCAGUGGCGAAGGCGUCUAACUAGAACGGGUCUGACGGUGAGGGACGAAGCCCUGGGGCGCAAAC
rnacentral:rRNA from 1 species